GCCAGGUGCUGUGGAGCACACCUGUAAUCCCAAUGAUUUAGGGAGCUGAGGCAGGAGGAUCACAAGGUUGAGGUCACCCUUGGCAACUUGGUGAGAACCUGUCUCAA
rnacentral:sRNA from 1 species